rnacentral:rRNA from 1 species
GACGAACGCUGGCGGCGUGCUUAACACAUGCAAGUCGAACGGAAAGGCCCUGCUUUUGUGGGGUGCUCGAGUGGCGAACGGGUGAGUAACACGUGAGUAACCUGCACUUGACUUUGGGAUAACUUCAGGAAACUGGGGCUAAUACCGGAUAGGAGCUCCUGCUGCAUGGUGGGGGUUGGAAAGUUUCGGCGGUUGGGGUUGGACUCGCGGCAUAUCGGCUUGUUGGUGGGGUAGUGGCUUACCAAGGCUUUGACGGGUAGCCGGCCUGAUAGGGUGGCCGGCCCCAUUGGGUUUGGGCUGCGGCCCAGCCUACUACGGGACGCAGCGGUGGAGUAGAUUGCACUAUGGGCUGAGCCCUGAUGCAGCAACGCCGCGUGCGGGAAGACGGGCUUCGGGUUGGAAUCCACUUUUGUUUGUGCCGAAGCGUUAGUGACGGUAAUGGGUAAAGAAGCACCGGCUAACUACGUG